rnacentral:piRNA from 1 species
UUCAAGACUGGUGCCUGGAGCCUGGAGCCC